ACCGGUGGGCGGGCUUGGGCCUGGGGAAGUGGAAAAAUAACGCCAGGCGAGUCAACCCCGCCACGGAAAAACCUCUGGCCUGGGGAUGUCUUAACUGGCCGAGGGGCUAGAAAGCGUUUGGCGUCGUAAGGGAAAGGCCUGCCGAGGUAGGGAAGUGUCGGCGGAAUCUUGGAAGUGAUGAGAUUGGAAUAACGAGAAUGGUUUGCGUGACAUCUCUGUAACCUGGCAGCCAAGGAGCAUGGACUGGAAUGCGUGUGCAUGAACAAUGAUGACUUCACUGUACUAGUCAGUGGGGACAGCAGACACCUUUGAGUGAGCAUGCGUACUGUGUGGCCAUCACAUUCAAAAUGACUGAGCAAGUAGAGCAACGAAUCUGCAUCAAAUUUUGCGUUAAGCUUGAACGUUCUACUGCAGAAACUAUUCAGAUGAUUCAGAAGGCCUUUGGACACAAUGCAAUGAGUGCAGAGCAAAUAAAAGUGUGGUACAAAUGCUUCAAAGAUGGUCAGGAAUCUGUUCAAAGUGAUCCACGUCCUGGAAGGCCUGCAACAAGCAGAGCACCUAAGAAUGUUGAACAUGUACGGGCUGCAAUCAACAAAGAUCGGCGGCCAAGGUGACUCAGCCCCCCUACAGCCCAGAUUUGGCACCCUGGGACUUCUGGCUCUUCCUAAAACUAAAAUCACCUUUGAGAGGGAGGAGAUUUCAGACCAUCGAUGAGAUUUUGGAAAAUACAAUGGGGCCACUGAUUGCGAUUCCAACAAAGGAUUUUACAUUGUUUGAACAGUGGAAGAGACUCUGGGAGAACUGUGUGAGGUCCCAAGGUGCCUGCUUUGAAGGGGACUGAGGCGUCAUUGUCCUGUGUACAGUGUUUCUUGUACCUUGUAUCUUCUUCAACAAAUGUGUCUAUUUUUCAUGGUACAUGGCUGGAUACUUUCUGGACAGACCCACUAUACCGUUUUUGCAGGAAUAGUUACUUAGUUUAUCAUGAACGUCUCCCCAUAUCAUUUAAUAUUCUUCUUCAAUAUAUAAUUCUAUCAUGUGAGUGUGCCUUUGGGUAUUUCCGUCUUUUUCGGACCGUAAGACGCACUUCUUUUCCCCUCAAAUUUGGGAGGAAUAAUGGUUGUUAAUGCUGCUGUUGAGUUCUGUUUACAUUGACAUGGGCGAAAUAUUAGGCUAUUUAUGUUACUGAAUAUUUUACCACAUUUUUUGCUUCAAAAUUUGUUUUCCUAUUUUCCUCUAAAAUCUAGGUGCAUCGUAUGGUCCAAAAAAUAGGGUAUGUCUCACAGUUCAACAAAUCGUAGGCAUUGAGUUUUUCACUUCCUUGAAGAGAUUGGGGUGUUUCAAUGGGCUGCGUGUUUCCCUGACUGACAGGGUGCCCUGGGAAUGUCUGCGGGACCAAAGGCACUGCCUGGGGGUGGGGCAGCCUUCUCUGCUGGGGGUGAUGACGUCGCAAGGAAUCCUUUGCUCUGUGCCCUGGUAGUGGCAGAGCUAUGACAGGCAAAGCCACUUAAAGCCUGAAAACACCGGGAGGGUUGCCCUUUAACCCCUGCUUUUCUUGGGGAAUCCUGUUCUCUAACCUGAAGAAAAAGUGGUUGGGUGACAGAGGAUUGGGGGAGGGUUUGGAAAUCAGGGCUCUCUUAGUAAAACCUCACGGAACUCCUGGCAUAGGUAUCUCCCUUUUCCAGACCAGGAAAGGGAGGCUCAGCGAGAGAAUUGGUUUAAGCCUGCAUGACUAGUCAGUGCACCACCCUUAGGUUGGGUGUGAACUUCGAACUCUGUCCACCAUACUUUCCACUGUUCCUUAAAACUGGUGGAUGUAAUGCCAUUCUUCUUUUUUACCCCUGUGGGAAAUUUGUCAGUUUUCUGAAAGAUACUUGUUAUCUGCUACAAUAAAUAAAUAAAUAAAUAAAAUCUGACUAACCAA